GUGGUAACACUAAAACUGUGUUAUUUGGGAAAGUUUUUUGAAAAACGCACUCUGUCACACACUCAACAAAAACUAAAGCAAGUUGCGUUCUUUUAAUAAAAAAAAUGAAAGUCGGAUUUGGAAACAGAUAAAUACACAAGAUCGUCUUUCAAGAAUCCAUCUGUGUUUUACCCAGCCGUCCGUUUAAAUUCCGUGGUGGGUAAUAACCAAAAGGUUUAAAAUAAUUAACUAAAGGUAUAUAUAGGUAUCUUAUUCUCACCAAAAUUCACAAAUAGAAAAGAAAAAAAAAAUCUCAAACUCUCGCUUCUCUCUUUUACAGAAAAAGUACUCUCUACAAGUUUUG
rnacentral:lncRNA from 1 species